GGUUAAGCGACUAAGCGUACACGGUGGAUGCCCUGGCAGUCAGAGGCGAUGAAGGACGUGCUAAUCUGCGAAAAGCGUCGGUAAGGUGAUAUGAACCGUUACAGC
rnacentral:rRNA from 1 species